GACGAACGCUGGCGGCGUGCUUAACACAUGCAAGUCGAACGGUGAAGCGCCUUCCUUUUUGGUGGGUGUGGAUGAGUGGCGAACGGGUGAGUAACACGUGAGUAACCUGCCCCCUUCUUCUGGAUAACCGCAUGAAAGUGUGGCUAAUACGGGAUAUUCUGGGUCUGUCGCAUGAUGGGUCUGGGAAAGAUAUUGUUUCGGUGGGGGAUGGGCUCGCGGCCUAUCAGCUUGUUGAUGGGGUGAUGGCCUACCAAGGCGGUGACGGGUAGCCGGCCUGAGAGGGUGGACGGGCACACUGGGACUGAGACACGGCCCAGACUCCUACGGGAGGCAGCAGUGGGGAAUAUUGCACAAUGGGCGCAAGCCUGAUGCAGCGACGCCGCGUGAGGGAUGGAGGCCUUCGGGUUGUGAACCUCUUUCGCCAGUGAAGCAGGCCUGCCUCGUUUGUGGGUGGGUUGACGGUAGCUGGAGAAGAAGCGCCGGCUAACUACGUG
rnacentral:rRNA from 1 species